rnacentral:rRNA from 1 species
GACGGGGGAUGCAAGUGUUAUCCGGAAUAAUUGGGCGUAAAGCGUCUGUAGGUGGUUUACCAAGUCUGUUGUUAAAAAAUCAGGGCUUAACCCUGAUCCGGCAACAGAAACUAGUAGGCUGGAGUACGGUAGGGGCAGAGGGAAUUCUCGGUGUAGUGGUGAAAUACGUAGAGAUCGUGAGGAAGACCCGUGGCGAAGGCGGAUCUCUGGACGGCUAACUGACGCUGAGGCGCGAAGGCCAGGGGAGCAAACGGG